AAAAAAAAUUAAAAAAGGGAUGGAAAGAAAUUUAGUGGCCUAGUUGGUUGUCUCCUAGUAGAAGCGGCUGUUUGGUGAGGUUUCUGCUUUAAAGAGAGAGUGAAGUAUAAAUAGCUGGCUCAAGAGUGUGGUAAAAAUGUGGGGAGCUACAGCCUGUAAAGCUGACUUGUGGACAGGAGAACAAAUUGGGAAUGCGAGGAAUGGUAGUUAGGAUGAGUUUUACAUGCUUAGACGUGCUAAAUUAUCAAUAUCAUAAAUAAUCAGUGAGAUAGAGACAACUGGGUUUCCUAUGGAUUUCUAAUGGGAAUAUGGGUAGAAGUGGCUGGCUUCAGUUUUCUGCUCUU
rnacentral:misc_RNA from 1 species